rnacentral:rRNA from 1 species
CCUACGGGUUGCAGCAGUGGGGAGUAUUGGACAAUGGGCGCAAGCCUGAUCCAGCCAUGCCGCGUGAGUGAUGAAGGCCCUAGGGUUGUAAAGCUCUUUUGUGCGGGAAGAUAAUGACGGUACCGCGAGAAUAAGCCCCGGCUAACUUCGUGCCAGCAGCCGCGGUAAUACGAAGGGGGCUAGCGUUGCUCGGAAUCACUGGGCGUAAAGGGUGCGUAGGCGGGUCUUUAAGUCAGGGGUGAAAUCCUGGAGCUCAACUCCAGAACUGCCUUUGAUACUGAAGAUCUUGAGUUCGGGAGAGGUGAGUGGAACUGCGAGUGUAGAGGUGAAAUUCGUAGAUAUUCGCAAGAACACCAGCGGCGAAGGCGGCUCACUGGCCCGAUACUGACGCUGAGGCACGAAAGCGUGGGGAGCAAACAGGAUUAGAUACCCGAGUAGUC